rnacentral:rRNA from 1 species
AUUGAACGCUGGCGGCAGGCUUAACACAUGCAAGUCGAACGAGUGGCGGACGGGUGGGUAAUGCUUGGGAAUCUGGCUUAUGGAGGGGGAUAACGACGGGAAACUGUCGCUAAUAACGGGUACCAUAGGCUGAGCCCAAGUGGGAUUAGGUAGUUGGUGGGGUAAUGGCCUACCAAGCCGAUGAUCUCUAGCGGGUCGAAGAGGAUGACCAGCAACACGGGGACUGAAACACGGCCCGGACUCCUACGGGAGGCAGCAGGGGGGAAUAUUGAGCAAUGGGGGCAACCUGAAGCAGCCAUGCCGCGUGAAUGAAGAAGGCCUUCGGGUUGUAAAGUGCUUUCGGUGACGAGGCGUUAUUCACAGAAGAAGCACCGGCUAACUACGUGCCAGCAGCCGCGUAAUAC